UAAGGGCGCACGGUGGAUGCCUUGGCACUAGAAGCCGAUGAAGGACGUUACUAACGACGAUAUGCUUUGGGGAGCUGUAAGUAAGCUUUGAUCCAGAGAUUUCCGAAUGGGGAAACCCAGCAUGAGUUAUGUCAUGUUAUCGAUAUGUGAAUACAUAGCAUAUCAGAAGGCACACCCGGAGAACUGAAACAUCUUAGUACCCGGAGGAAGAGAAAGAAAAUUCGAUUCCCUUAGUAGCGGCGAGCGAAACGGGAAGAGCCCAAACCAACAAGCUUGCUUGUUGGGGUUGUAGGACACUCUAUACGGAGUUACAAAGGACGACAU
rnacentral:rRNA from 1 species